rnacentral:misc_RNA from 1 species
GAAAAAUGGUUAUUUAUUCUUUCUCUUCCAUAGAGGGCUUCAUUGCUGCCAUGACGAAUGUGAAUCCAUUGCAAGAUCCUUCAAGCCCCUAUUAUUUGCAUCCUAAUGAAAAUCCAGCCUUGGUGUUGGUUUCUCUAGUUCUUACGGAAUCAAACUAUCACACUUGGUCCAGAUCUAUGAAGAAGGCAUUGAUGUCAAAGAAUAAACUCAAGUUCGUUGAUGGCUCUUUGACAGUUCCUGCAAAAACAGAUCCUCUGUAUUCUGCAUGGGAGAGAUGCAACACAAUGGUACUUUCUUGGAUUGUUCAUUCACUUUCUUCUUCAAUUACUCAGAGUAUUCUUUGGAUUGACAAAGCUAUUAAUGUUUGGAAUGACUUGAAAGAACGAUUUUCUCAAGGAGAUAUGUUUAGAAUAUCAGAUUUACAGGAAGAAAUUUUUUCUUUGAAGCAAGGGGAUCGGUCUAUUGCAGAUUACUUUACUAAGCUAAAAAUCCUUUGGGAUGAGUUACUUAAUUUCAGGCCUUUACCAGUUUGCAUUCGCCCUAAUCCGUGUACUUGUGAUGCUAUUACAAAGAUGAAGGGAUAUCUAGAGGCUGAUUAUGUGAUUAGAUUUCUAAAAGGUUAAAUGAUCAAUAAUCUACUGUCAGAUCAUUGAUAAUGAUGAUUAAGCCAUUUUCAUCCAUUAAUAAAGUUUUUUCUCUUGUUAUACAACAAGAAAGGCAGUUAAAUCCAGUCAAUUCUGUUAAUCCUUUCACUAUUAAUGCGAUGGAGUCUAAAGUUUUUGUUAGCAAGGCAGUUAAUGGAUCGAUGGGUAAUAGGCCUCCUUAUUAUCAAAAGCCUGGUGCGCGAAAUGCUUACAAUUCAGCUGUUGUUGACACUAGAUUUUGCACUAACUGUGGCAAAUCUAGACAUACUGUAGAGACGUGUUACAAGAAGCAUGGGUUCCCUCCUGGUUACAGGCGUGGUUAUAAUGCUUCUGCCAACAAUAUAAUGGCAGAUGAAUCACAACAGCAAUAUGAAUCUAACCUAAUUUCCUCUCAACCUCAGUCUGGUACAAGCACAGGUCAAGAAGAUUCAGGUUUAGUCCAAAAGAAUUAUGAAAAUUCCAGCAUUGCUUUAUCACAAGAUCAGAUUAAGGGGUUAUUAGCAUUGCUUCGAUCAGCACAAUUGGAUCCAAAGUCUCAUUCCAUAAACCAACAUGUAUCUACUUCUAACUUGUAUCUUCUUUCUCAUCACUAUAAGGUAUUCACACUUCUUUGUCAUGUCUUACUUUUUCUUCAAACCUGUGGAUUAUUGACACAGGUGCUACUGAUCACAUAACUCAUUAUCUUGAUUCUUUUAGUUCCUAUAAAAAUAUUACAUCAAUUUCGGUUACUUUGCCUAAUGGUUCCAAAAUUCUUACUAAAAUUUCUGAUAUUGUUCCUUUGUAUUCCACUCUAAUCCUUCGUGAUGUUCUUUACAUACCUGCAUUUCCUCUCAAUCUUUUAUCUAUCACCAAACUCACUUCAAAUAUAAAGU